CACGUAGGGGGCGAGCGUUGUCCGGAUUUAUUGGGCGUAAAGAGCUCGUAGGCGGCUUGGUAAGUCGGGUGUGAAACCUCCAGGCUCAACCUGGAGACGCCACUCGAUACUGCUAUGGCUAGAGUCCGGUAGGGGAGCGUGGAAUUCCUGGUGUAGCGGUGAAAUGCGCAGAUAUCAGGAGGAACACCAGCGGCGAAGGCGGCGCUCUGGGCCGGAACUGACGCUGAGGAGCGAAAGCGUGGGGAGCAAACAGG
rnacentral:rRNA from 1 species